rnacentral:rRNA from 1 species
UGGGGAAUAUUGGACAAUGGGCGAAAGCCUGAUCCAGCCAUGCCGCGUGUGUGAAGAAGGUCUUCGGAUUGUAAAGCACUUUAAGUUGGGAGGAAGGGCAGUAAGUUAAUACCUUGCUGUUUUGACGUUACCAACAGAAUAAGCACCGGCUAACUUCGUGCCAGCAGCCGCGGUAAUACGAAGGGUGCAAGCGUUAAUCGGAAUUACUGGGCGUAAAGCGCGCGUAGGUGGUUCAGCAAGUUGGAUGUGAAAUCCCCGGGCUCAACCUGGGAACUGCAUCCAAAACUACUGAGCUAGAGUACGGUAGAGGGUGGUGGAAUUUCCUGUGUAGCGGUGAAAUGCGUAGAUAUAGGAAGGAACACCAGUGGCGAAGGCGACCACCUGGACUGAUACUGACACUGAGGUGCGAAAGCGUGGGGAGCAAACAGGAUUAGAUACCCUGAUAGUCCACGCCGUAAACGAUGUCGACUAGCCGUUGGGAUCCUUGAGAUCUUAGUGGCGCAGCUAACGCGAUAAGUCGACCGCCUGGGGAGUACGGCCGCAAGGUUA